rnacentral:rRNA from 1 species
UACGGAGGGUGCAAACGUUGCUCGGAAUCAUUGGGCGUAAAGCGCACGUAGGCGGCACGUUAAGUCGGAUGUGAAAGCCCCGGGCUCAACCCGGGAAGUGCAUUCGAAACUGGCGCGCUUGAAUAUGGAAGAGGGUCGCGGAAUUCCCGGUGUAGAGGUGAAAUUCGUAGAUAUCGGGAGGAACACCAGUGGCGAAGGCGGCGACCUGGGCCAAUAUUGACGCUGAGGUGCGAAAGCGUGGGGAGCAAACAGG